GAUCUUACAAAGCUCAUUCAUUGCAUGCAUCUAACUCCUUGUGUCCUUCUCCUUCCCCACUUAUACCAUGCCCGACCCAAUUAAUUGCAAAGAAGGAAAGUGUCAGAAAAGAAGGUAAUUUAGAUGAUUCACGUUGAGUAAAGCUGUGUUCUUGGCCUUUUUCAAUAAUGGCUCGGCCUGAGGGUUUUGGAACAACAAGAUAUUCGGAAGAUGGCAUAUGUGUAUAGAUAGCUCUUUUAACGGAAUUACCAACUCAGAAUUCAGAAGAUUCAAUAUUGGGGUGGAGCCCUAUGGGCAUACCCUGACAUAUUAACAUGAAACUAGUAUCCAGACAUAUAGUUGUUAGUACAGUACCUUGUAGUACUAUAAGGUAUGCUAGUCUCUCU
rnacentral:lncRNA from 1 species